UUCCUACGGGAGGCAGCAGUGGGGAAUUUUGCGCAAUGGGGGAAACCCUGACGCAGCAACGCCGCGUGAGUGAUGAAGGCCCUUGGGUCGUAAAGCUCUGACAGAGGGAAAGAAAUGCAUGGUGGCUAAUAUCCACUGAUGCUUGACGGUACCCUCAAAGGAAGCACCCGGCUAACUCCGUGCCAGCAGCCGCGGUAAUACGGAGGGUGCGAGCGUUGUUCGGAUUUAUUGGGCGUAAAGCGCGUGUAGGCGGUUUUAUAAGUCUGAUGUGAAAGCCCCGGGCUCAACCUGGGAAGUGCAUUGGAUACUGUAAGACUUGAGUACGGGAGAGGGCAGUGGAAUUCCUAGUGUAGGAGUGAAAUCCGUAGAUAUUAGGAGGAACACCGGU
rnacentral:rRNA from 1 species